AAGACUAUGCUUUCAGGGAUCAUUUCUAUAGUUUUAAACUAGGAAAUGUGUUUUGAUAAAGUUGAAUCUCUUGAACCACGAUGAAGAGUAUUGAUGUGUUUCUCUGAGCGUAAAUCAAGUAAUGUUUGGUGAUAAUUAUCACAGAUCAUUACUAUUGAUAGGGAUGCGCCGAUACCACUUUUUUGGAAUACGAGUAUGAGUACGAGUACU